CUUGAGUCAAUGACCCAAUAGAGAAGAUCAUCACUCAUUUAAGUGUGUAACUACUAGAGACAGAAAUCUCAGACAAAGCAAACAAAGCACAUGCAUGGCAAAAAGAUUGGCCUUUCAUUUCAGCCUGGGCUUGAAAUAUCAAACACAUUGCCAUAUCAAACACAUUUCUGUGCCAGGACCAGUCACACUACUACCACCCCACCCCCAACAAACACACACACAGAUACACACUUCUAUAUAUAUAUAUACUAUAUAUAAAUAUAUAUAUAUUUACUGUCUAUUUCCAAGUUAUAUUGGAAUAGUCUCAUGCCUAAAUCAAU
ensembl:lincRNA